rnacentral:rRNA from 1 species
UGGGGAAUAUUGCACAAUGGGCGAAAGCCUGAUGCAGCAACGCCGCGUGAGUGAUGAAGGUCUUCGGAUUGUAAAGCUCUGUCUUUUGGGACGAUAAUGACGGUACCAAAGGAGGAAGCCACGGCUAACUACGUGCCAGCAGCCGCGGUAAUACGUAGGUGGCGGGCGUUGUCCGGAUUUACUGGGCGUAAAGGGUGCGUAGGCGGAUGUUUAAGUGAGAUGUGAAAUACCCGGGCUUAACUUGGGUGCUGCAUUUCAAACUGGAUAUCUAGAGUGCAGGAGAGGAGAAUGGAAUUCCUAGUGUAGCGGUGAAAUGCGUAGAGAUUAGGAAGAACACCAGUGGCGAAGGCGAUUCUCUGGACUGUAACUGACGCUGAGGCACGAAAGCGUGGGUAGCAAACAGGAUUAGAUACCCUGGUAGUCCACGCCGUAAACGAUGAGUACUAGGUGUAGGAGGUAUCGACCCCUUCUGUGCCGCAGUAAACACAUUAAGUACUCCGCC